ACGCUGGCGGCAGGCUUAACACAUGCAAGUCGAACGAUGAUUACUAGCUUGCUAGUAUGAUUAGUGGCGAACGGGUGAGUAAUGCUUAGGAAUCUACCUAUUAGUGGGGGACAACAUUCCGAAAGGAAUGCUAAUACCGCAUACGUCCUAUGGGGGAAAGCAGGGGAUCGCAAGACCUUGUGCUAAUAGAUGAGCCUAAGUCGGAUUAGCUAGUUGGUGGGGUAAAGGCCUACCAAGGCGACGAUCUGUAGCUGGUCUGAGAGGAUGAUCAGCCACACUGGGACUGAGACACGGCCCAGACUCCUACGGGAGGCAGCAGUGGGGAAUAUUGGACAAUGGGCGAAAGCCUGAUCCAGCCAUGCCGCGUGUGUGAAGAAGGCCUUUUGGUUGUAAAGCACUUUAAGUGGGGAGGAAAAGUUGACGGUUAAUACCCGCCAGCCCUGACGUUACCCACAGAAUAAGCACCGGCUAACUCUGUGCCAGCAGCCGCGGUAAUACAGAGGGUGCAAGCGUUAAUCGGAAUUACUGGGCGUAAAGCGAGCGUAGGUGGUCAUUUAAGUCAGAUGUGAAAUCCCCGGGCUUAACCUGGGAACCGCAUCUGAUACUGGGUGACUAGAGUAGGUGAGAGGGAAGUAGAAUUCCAGGUGUAGCGGUGAAAUGCGUAGAGAUCUGGAGGAAUACCGAUGGCGAAGGCAGCUUCCUGGCAUCAUACUGACACUGAGGUUCGAAAGCGUGGGUAGCAAACAGGAUUAGAUACCCUGGUAGUCCACGCCGUAAACGAUGUCUACCAGUCGUUGGGUCUCUUGAAGACUUAGUGACGCAGUUAACGCAAUAAGUAGACCGCCUGGGGAGUACGGCCGCAAGGUUAAAACUCAAAUGAAUUGACGGGGCCCGCACAAGCGGUGGAGCA
rnacentral:rRNA from 1 species